UACAGAGGGUGCAAGCGUUGUUCGGAAUUAUUGGGCGUAAAGCGCGUGUAGGCGGCAUGGCAAGUCGGGUGUGAAAGCCCUCAGCUUAACUGAGGAAGUGCGCCCGAAACUGCUGUGCUUGAGUACCGGAGAGGAUGGCGGAAUGCCCCAAGUAGAGGUGAAAUUCGUAGAUAUGGGGCGGAACACCGGUGGCGAAGGCGGCCAUCUGGACGGAUACUGACGCUGAGACGCGAAAGCGUGGGUAGCAAACAGG
rnacentral:rRNA from 2 species